UUGCUACAAUGUAAAAAAAGUCAGGUUAACAUCCUCUGAGUGUGGUGAUUCCAUAAUUUUUGCCAGGGGUCUCACUUAUCUCUUUAGUGAAGAACUAUAGUAUGUCAUGCAUUAAAUAAGUAAUGUGUGUCUACCUUUUGGUCUUAUAAUCCUUGCUUAUCUCACCCAAAUUUAUAUCUAACAGCUUUACGUCAUUUUGUAAAGUACAUUUGAGUGGGUGGUCAGGCAUUUCCACAGAGGAAUUAUUGUGAUUAUCAAAUUGCAUAUUCUAAAAUAGGGUGCUUUUUAAACUUGCAGUGUGCUAUAGUGUCUUCCGAAUCUGUGUAUAUGAGUGUUUCUUGAUGUGUUUUUGCAAUUUCAGCAUGUCUACAAAAACAAUGGAAGAUGUUAUAAGGCUUUGCACUGGAAAAACCUAUGAAGUAUCUCUACUGUGUUUUAAUUUAUAAGACCAGGAGUGAGAGACAGAGAGCGGGAGAGAAGUAAUCUUGUUAUACUGCCAACCUGAACAGGAAUCACAAGACUUAACCCUAGGUCUGGUUACAAGAUCACAGAGGCACUACACAGCUUUCCUCUGGCAGGCCAGACAGGUGCUUAAAAGUCAGACUUGCAAAAGCAUCCCUGUUUUGGCAAGCAAAUACAAUAAAGGAUUCUCCAGAUGUC